UGAAGGGGAGGGGGGGUAGGAGAGAAAGGAUUCAGGGGAGAAGAAGAAGAUGUCAACCCUGAAGAUCGACUGCCGCCAUUUUGUGGAUCACAGGCACCAUUUUGUGGAGCCUGUGACUCACUCAAAGCAAACUUAACUCUGGGCUUAACUGUAGGGGAAGAUGGGGGAAGGUAAGAUCCUCGAGCCACGUGGCCAUGGUGCCUCGAGGAAUCCUCAGCAGUCUGGCCAAGACUGCUGAGUCUAGACGGCAAGGAAUUUUGUAGAGAGCAUGGGCUAGCAGCCCUCUUCAAAAUUCCUUUUUUAGGGACAGAGGGACUGGUAUUGGGGUGAGGGGGAACUGGGGUAGAUUCCUUAACCCGUGGCUUUUCUUGCCCCUUUUUUUGUUUUGUAAUGAACUUUAGUUGUGAGAUUAAAAACAUGAGAUCUUGUACCUUUUUAUCUUUUGAACUUUCUGCAUGAACCAAUUUCCUCUCUGCAGCCUCCCAGAACUGGGAGCUGCGAACUGCCACCUCAGAAGUAUUUGGAAGGUGCAAGAAAAGCCACAGAAUGAAUCUCUUUAAACAACCGUUAGAAAACUGAACUUUCUGAACUUGUAACAUUGAAACACAAACGUAAUAAACUCCCUUCUGUGCAGAGCUCAGAGACGCACCCAUUCUCUUUAAGUUAGCAGAAUCUGCACACUCCAAAGACCAGGCAAAGUAAAGAUCACAAAGAAAAAGUAAACUGCCACGUGCUUAAAAACUGGCAAACAAAAACACACUCACUAGCAACCGCAAGACCACCGGUGCACGGCACGAACUUCAAAACUACCUCCGAUUGCAAAAAAACAAAACCGAAAGUAAAAAAAAACCGCAAAACGCCAGGGAUUUCCAAACCGGGAAGAAGAGCCCCAAAACUCAACUCCCGGGGUCGCGCGACCACAGCCCGCGGGCUUAGCCCACACUGAACUGCUAUACCGAAAGCCCCCCUCACGGUAAAAGGGGGUUUUAUACUUACCAAACCCAGCGCAGGUGCGAAAAGCCGGUCUUCGGGGGUUCCUUUGCCGUGGGAAGACGCCGUGUAUGAGUGCAAUACAGGGCGCUGCCUUCCCGUCCUCGGGGAGCACGUCCUGUGAAGAGGCGGCUCACCCAGAGGCUGCGUGACGGCCAGGAGUUCUUUUCGGGGGGUUGGCUCCUAGUCUGAGCCCCGCUAACUCCGUCCGUGGGGGGGGUCCGCGGUGCCUCAAAAGAACCACUGGGGGUCGCCCCGAGCCAGCCCAAGCACCGGGACAAGGCGCAACUCCGAAGCCAGCCCUCACGCUACGACGGCGAAGCGGCUCCGACAUGUGCAAAACCCCGUAGGAACUUAUGAGGGGGUGUAAGAGCGGCUAGGCAGAGGAAGGAAAGGAGGAUCCGCAAACAGAGCAGCAGAGAGUUUAUUAACUCAACUCUGAGCCGUUUGUGGACCCAGACUUUGAAUCAACACAGGGUUUUAAGGGGAGCCGAGAAGGUGGGGAGAAGGGGGUGAGGUUCGCCGCCUCCAGCCAAUGGUUUACAGUCUCUAGGGAGAACAGAGGGGAAAAGGGUGCUUCGGACCAAUUAAAGAUAACUGGGAGGGGAAAACUCAAGGCGGGAAAGAUAACUGACAAUUAACCGAAGGGAACAGGUGCAGACACCUCGUGAUGGAGGAGAGGGACAAAGGAAUAUUAAUUAGGGGGGGAAGGUAGGGAUACAUAGAACUGAACCUUUACAGACAACUAAAUCUUACAUAAAACAGUAAACUCAAAAAACAUGCACUGCCACACUUUACUGCAGAAAUUAUCCCAGAUUGGGCAAAAGGUGAAAAGACCAAAUGGGCUUCUCAUACCUGUUAUGGAUGGGAGGCUAACAAGUGUUCCAAAAUCACUGCUUUUUGCCCGGCAGUUCCAAGCAUAAACACACCCUGGAUAAUUCCUUCAUACUAACUUUUCUGCCUUUGAAGGCAGAUUCUGUUGUGUUUACUUUUCACAGGAGAACUCUGAGGGACAUAAAGACCAUAUAAAACUAUGAUAAAACUGGUGAUAUUUUUAAACAUUAUUGGUGUUAUAAGAACAAAAUUAAGAAUUUUAAAUAAUAUUGAUUUAGAAAUAUUAAUUAAUAAAUUGGUUGUUACAAUUAAGAAUUUGACAACACUUUUUACAGUCGUCCUGAUUGGCCUUGAGAACGACUCAGUGGCUAUUAUCAAACAUAUUAUCAAACUGAGAACUGGUAAAUGUGAAUAAUCACAAAUUGAUAACUGAUCACAAAACUAAAUCUUUUAGCUCUUAGUUGUCUCCAGUCUCAGUAGUGGAUGCAGUUAGUGGCUGCCUCAAUUAUAAAAGAAGGCAGUUUUUUCUACUGAAAUUUGGAAAGUAAUUUGGGACAAUGCCAAUGAUUUCGAAAGAGAUUUUCAAUUCUGGUGGAACUUAGUGAAUUUUAUUUAUGACUUUUUUAUCAACACAGCCACAGGUUUUGUAUUGACCAUACGUAAUGCUUUGGUACAUUUGAUAUUCCCUAUUAUUGUGUUAAGAUUAAAUCAUGACGGUGCUAUUCUCUAUCCUUUCCAGUAUAGGGAAUGGGCCCAUCAAAUUAAUGAGAAAUUGUAAACUGUUAAUUUAGAAUUUUUGUAUUGUUUGAGAACAACAAAGAUUUAUUUGUGAAAGUAAUAAAAUUAUAUUUGUUUAGACAUAGAACAAAAUAUUUGUUAUUUUUAAGUUUAUCCUAACGAGACUCCUGAAACAGUGCUUCAAUAUGUAGGCAAUGGAUGUGUAUGCUUUAGGACUGCUUGUGAUGUUGUAACUGUAGAAAAUGUUAUAUUAGAAACUAAGAAUCAUUUGAAUUUUUGUGCUUGUAACUUAACUAAAAUUACAGCUUUUGAUUUUUUUUUUUCAGCUCCAGUUUACUUCUUACCAGCUUUUACAAUCUAAUUACACACUGAUCCACAAGCUAUGGCCUACUCCGAUUUGGUAAAGUAAUUGUUGCUCCAUCAGGAUCUAAGUGAAAUUUUAGAUAAAAUCAAGAUCUUGAUAACAAAUUAUGUCAUCCCAUCGUUGUUCUUUUGACUUUAUUUUGAUUGGCUUUGUUUUUCAGCAAUCUCAUUCUUUACUUAGAAACAAUAGAUAUACUUAGAGAUGUUGACACAAGACAAACUUUAUCAGUAGGCCAUAGCCGCGGACUGUGAAAUGGAUUUUGCCUAAGAAAAAAAAUUUUAAAGAUACAUAUAUUUUAAGCCAAUUAUGUAUUUUGAUUUUUGUGAUUUGUGUAAAUUAUUUUUAAAUUUUGUUCAUGUUACUUGAAAAUUGUUUUACAAUAAUUUUUGUUUUGAUUGAAAAUUGUUUUAAUUAAUAUAACUAUAAUCCUCUUUUAAAAAAUUGUUUUAAGACUUUUGCUUUGAAUACUUGAAAAUUGUUUUAAUUAAUAAUAUUAUGAUUUUAAUUAAUAUUGUUAAGAUUUUGUCUUGAUUAUUUGAUUUUGUGAAUCGUUUAUCAUCAUGAUUUGUUUAAAUUUUAAUAUCAUUGGAUUUGUUUUGUCAUAGUGAUUUGUUUUGAGAUUUUAAUAAUCAAUAAUAAUCAUUGUUAUACAUCUCUUGUUUUCCCUUCUUCUCUAUUUCUUUUAUUCUCUCUCUCUCUCUCCCUCUCAUCUCUGUUUUCCGGGGUAUACUACUGACACUGACAAUGAGUCCUGAAGACUUCAGAACAAUGCAACGAACUCGGCUGAUGAAGCUCUCCUGCCGACCAGUCGUGAGUCACGGGGUGGUGUAAGAGUCGGUCCGAAAAUCCCUCAUUUUUGCCUCACGACUGUCAGAGGCCGAGACCCCCAUGGACUCUGGGCCACAGCACAGGCCAAGUUUUCCCUGCAGCUGCUGUCACUGGACCAAGACGCCCUCCUCAGGGACCCAUGCAUGAAACAAUGGGGGACUGUUACGGUUUCUGGCCAUGUUUGCAAAGAGAUGUUCCUGUACUGACCGUACUUGGUAAGACCUGAGCCACACCGCCCCCUCUAUUGUGAGAGAACACCUGCGAUGCCCACAAAACAUUUCCCCCUUCCUGGCAUCUUGCCUCUCGCUUCGAAAAGAACUAUAACAACCCCACCAGGAGAGCAGGCUUUCGAGGCCCUCCCCGGCGGACGACGGAUCUAUUGACACGUGCCACGAGGACUGCGAAGGUGGUGUCUUGGUACCAGCGUCACGAGGACUCCCGUCUGUCAGUCGGUAGCUAUACCCUUUCUUUCCUCCUUUCUCUCUCUCUCUCUCCCUCUCUUCUUUCCCCUUCUCUUCUAUCGCAUAACUGUGUGUAUCAAUAAAGAUACAAUUGAUUUCACUUGAA